AGCCCAAUUUUGGACACUAUGAGUAAAAUCAACCACAGUUGGAUGACAUUCUUUAACCUCCAACUGCCAGCCACCAUCUAACUCCAAUCAAGCAUUCGAUCGCCGACAACUAGGCAAAAAGUGGAAACUCACCUCUUGAAUCUUCUCUUUAUGGUAUCUCUUCUUCUCCUUGCCCUUUUCCUUCUCAUCUUCCACCUUUCUUCAAUCUCUAAAAACCUCUCAUAUUCUUAACGUAUCCAUUCUUAUAUAUAAAAAAUAAAAAAUAAAAAAAAAAACAUGAAUCUAUGACUUCUUCCUUUCUUUCUUCUCUUUCCCUUCGAGUCAAAAAAAAAAAAACCAUGUUUUCUCCUUACAUUUCUUUUCUUUCUUCAAAAUAUCAAAGAUCUCAUUCUUCUAUCAUUUAUUACCAAAAAAAAAAAAAAAAAAAAAGGCCGCGACCACCAAAAAGGGCGAAACCCUCAUUUAUCUUCAACCUCAAAAUUUCAUCUCUCAAAACCCAUGAGGCUUUUACAUUUCUCAGAAAAAAGGUCUUCUUUUGUCUUUCAACCUCAAAAGUUCCUCUCACAAGGCCUAAAUGGCCAUCAACUUGCUCAAAAAGGAAAGAGCUAUCUCUCUAGUCUCUUCCAACCUGUUGGGUUUAGAAUUGACUUCAGGCCCACGAGGGAGGACGCUCAACCCAAAUGAAAGUGGUAGGUGAAACGAAAGGCACACAAUGUGCCAUACCUCUUAGCUGGCUCUACAACAUGUGGAGACCUCCACCAUCUCAAUUCAGUGGGAAAGAAUGAAGCCGACUCAAAAUAGUUUGAUGUGAUUGAAGAAGAAAAUUAAGCAUGCAAUUUGAAGAGCAGAAAGAAGAAGAGAAAAGGAACACGAGCAUGUACGUGGUUCGGCCUAACUCAGAGCCUACAUCCACGGGAAGGGAUGAAGUAUAUUAUUGAAGAUUUUACAGAGAUAAGUUUCUUUACCGUUUUGUUUUUGAGAAAUAUGUAGAACAACACAAAAUGUAAAAGUAUCAACUAUUUACAUUUGAAUACAUUUAUAUUAUGAAAGCUGUUAAAGAAACUAGCCGUUGGGGCUUAACGUGAGAUUAUUAUCUUCACAACCCCAAUGGAAAAUUCUCAAUAUUUUUCUUCAUCUCAA